rfam:Gossypium raimondii Chr09_contig_708, whole genome shotgun sequence.
UGUUAAAACUUCUAUCCAUUUGUACUAUAAAAACUAGCAUGGUGACAGAAUAAUAAGACAGUAACAUGUAACAUGCCACAAGUAUCUCAUGCGGUCAUACAUGGACUAAUUUUUAAAAACAGAAAUGAAUAAAAUUUUAACA